UGCCAGCAGCCGCGGUAAAACGUAGGAGGCGAGCGUUAUCCGGAUUUACUGGGUGUAAAGCGCGUGCAGGCGGUCUGUUAAGUGGGAUGUGAAAGCUCCCGGCUCAACUGGGAGAGGUCGUUGCAGACUGGCAGACUGGAGAGCAGGAGAGGAAGGUGGAAUUCCGGGUGUAGUGGUGAAAUGCGUAGAUAUCCGGAGGAACACCAGUGGCGAAAGCGGCCUUCUGGACUGCAUCUGACGCUCAGACGCGAAAGCUAGGGUAGCAAACGGGAUUAGAGACCCCGGUAGUCCUAGCCGUAAACGAUGUGAACUUGGCGCCGGGCGGGUAAAACCGAUCGGUGCCGUAGCAAACGCGAUAAGUUCACCACCUGGGGACUACGGCCGCAAGGUUAAAACUUAAAGGAAUUGGCGGGGGAC
rnacentral:rRNA from 1 species